AUAUUAUGACAAGGUCACUAAACAGUCUAGUGGAAGAUUGUUUUUUCCUUCUAAUGAGAUAGCUUUUUCUGAUUCUUCUUUAUUCUAAAUAAAAACUUCCUGAUUUUUGUUUUCUUCUCUGACUCUUCCCUACAUUAUUACAAUGAAGUAAAACCGGGAUUCUAUUUUUUUUAGCCACUUGGGGAAAAAUCUUUAACUACUCCUACCACCUGAGAGGGACCGCUUUACGACCAAGUCAUCCAGGGGACAAGUUCUAAAAGCCAUGUAAUUUUCUUUUACUUCAUUAUGCUGCAUUUUGGAGAACUGCCAUGUUACUGUUAGCGGUGUAGCACCAUUCUGUGCCUAACUAGGGAUCGAAGACGUUACUGAGAAGUAGCAAGGAACACUUGUGGGGACAAUAUCAGGUCAAUCGGGUUUGUUUCGGGAACUUUUUAUAUUUAACAGUGCAAUAGUUAUCUACCUAUACCAGUACACUUAUACACUUAUUAUUUUUUUAUAAUAUCCAGAACAUUUAAGUAAUUAACAUACACAUAAUUCAAUAGCGCUCCCACACCUGUAUGUCUCUUUGUAAAAGAGGAUAAUUUGGGCCCAAAUAACCUUUUCCUAUACAGUAGUUCCUUACAUUUAUUUUUUUAUCACCAUUAUUAGACUUGUUUCCAUAUUUUGCAUAUAACUAUAUAUAUUUUAAUAUCAUUAGCUUGUUUUUUUUAUGUAAUUUAAAUUCAAAAUUUUGUUUACUUAACUUAAAUUCAUUUGUAAUUAAAUUAAAUUCACUCCCUAAUCCCUAUCCCCUCAGGAUAGCUUUUAGUUUCACUUGUUAAUUAUUCAGAACCACGAGUCAGCAAAAGGAUCUCUUGCAUCCAGGACUUUGUUGGUUCACUUAGGAGCUUGUUGCCCGUCAACUCAUUGUGAGUUAUAUAUAUUUAUUAUUUAUAUUAUUGAGGUAUUUUUAUUAUUCAUAUUUCUAUAGGAUUUGACGUUGUACGUAUUUUAAUCGUACAAUUAUUUGGUGAAGGUUGUUAUUUAACCUAGUAUAUGUAAGUUGGGGGUAUGCUUCCUAGAAAAGCUACUCCAAUACUAAUUUAAUAGGUAAUUAUAUUUAUACUUAGAUAGGUAAUUAUUUCCCAUUGUCAUUUUAUAGUUACAUAAUUUGUAUUUUUCUAACUCAGAGGUUGUCAAAAAUCUAAGUAGUUAUAUUUAAUAAAUAUUUAUUUGUUUUUGUAUACCAAUUAUUUUUUUUCCCAUUUUUGAAUUUAAUAAUUUAAUAUAUUUACUAUUUAACAGCAGUGUAAGAUACCUGGAAGUUUGGUCCAUUCCAACUUCUGGCGCCCAUAAUUCAGUCUAUUGUAUUUAUCUCCUACAUUCUUCUAUUUUUAUUAUAUUAUUAUAUUUAUUUAAUCUAUUUUCUGAGCAUAUAUUCUUAUCUUAAUAUUUCCCUUCUUAGUUAUCAUCACUCUCUACUUUGAUCUACUGUUCUUCGACAGGCAUGCAAACGAGCCGUAUCCAUCCUUGAGUGUCAAGUUGCUCUCUUGCAUCUACAGCUAGCCAACUCUAUUCAGUUUGCCUCUGUCUCUCCAUACUUCCAUUAUCAGUUCAUCACCCUCCUUCAUUCAUUUCAUCUUAUCAUUUUAGUUCAACAAAUACUACUGCAAAGUAGUAUUUUGUUACAUCGGCAGCCCAACUUGGUGCCAACCUUUUAUAGGUUCUAAGACAGUAGUUCUUUUAGUUCAUUUUUUUUCUUUUAUUUAUAUUAUUUCCUUCUGAUAUCUUUUUAUACAUUCUGUUCUGAUUUAUUUUGUUUUUAAUUACUUAUUAAUACUUAACAGGUAUACUGUCACUGCUGUAUCUAUUAAUUAGUUGAGAUUUUGAAACCUCUUUUAUAGUUUGUCAUACAGCUUACAUUCUAGGUUGAAUUUGAAACGAAGUAUAAGUAACUAACAUAUAGGUAUAUUAUAUUAUUGCAAAUUUUACUCCUUCAGCCAGUGGUGUAUUUGUAUGUACAGUUGAUCGUUAAUACUUACAUUUUUUUUGGGUACAAGUAUAAUAACUAAAAUUUUUUUUCCAAUAUUUAGGUACUAUAUAUUUACUUGAUUAUACCUUAUUUACUGUAUUUAUUUGAUAUAUAUUUUGCUGGCCAUUUUUGAUUUUGUUGGUGUGUUGCUAAUAUUUUCUCCGUACCUAUAUAUUUUGCGUACAAACUUAAGUAUAUUUCGUAUUUCUGACUUUUGGAUUGCUUGUCAAUAAUUUUUGCUUUCAUCAUGUGUGCUUUUAAAGUUGAACAUCUUCUGGUGGACGAAUUGGACUAUGAGUUGAAAAUUAGGGACGUAGUACCAGAGGAGUCAGCAACCGUCGAUAGAAAACGCAAUCUUCUGCGGGGUGCUUUGAAGCAAGAAGCAGGCAAUAGGAGUUUCACCCAACUUUCGGCUGUAUAUAUCCCUUUUGAGGACCAACGGAAAGGAAUAUCCGAAACGUUGGAUAGCUUGUCUAAGAAAAUAGAGAAGUUUAGGGGAACUGUACAAGACACUGAAUAUGCUCGAUUAAUAUCUCGUCUAACUCAUAUUUCUGGCCGUGUACACUUGUUACAUUGUACUACGGAAGAGCAGGAACCUUUUAAAAAGUCUGUUUCUCUUAAAAUCCUUACAUUGGAGGGUGAGCUUGAUUCUAAGGUUAACCCCAUAGCCACAUCUACUCCUAAUGCUCCAGUAAGUGUCGUUCCUAGUUUCACAUACUCCAAACCCGUUCAAGUACACAAAUGGGGUGUUUCAUUUUCAGGUGAAAAACAGCACACGGAUGUGAUUUCAUUUUUAGAAAAGGUUGAGUGUCUUCGUGUAUCUAGAGGGGUCUCCGAGGAAAAUUUGUUUGCGGCUUCAGCCGAAUUGUUUACCGGUCCUGCUUUCACCUGGUUCAUGAAUAAUAGGGGUAAUUUGUCUUGCUGGUCUGAUCUCGUUCGCAAGUUGAGGUCAGAUUUUCUUCCUUACUCAUACCAGGAUGAUCUCUUGGAUGAAAUCAAAAACCGUAAGCAGAAACCAGGAGAGUCUGUCACUAUGUUCAUUAAUACUAUAUUAGGCAUGUGUAGCCGUUUAGAUACUCCUUUAUCUGAUUUGUCCAAAAUAAAAAUCAUCUUAAAAUGUUUAUUGCCUUUUUACCAUCAACAGUUAGCUCUUAUGGACAUCCAGAGUAUUGAUGAUCUCACUGUAAAGUGCAAACGUUUGGAGGAAACGUUAUCCUGGUCUUCUCAGCCUUCAUCUUCAUCUCGACCCUCUUCUAAUUCCUCUUCUCAGCCAACUUCCUAUAGACAACGUUCUUGGCAAAAUAAGGGCCAUGAACAUAAUGUUUCUGUUGUUUGCUGGAAUUGUCACCAGUCUAAUCAUAAGUUCAAUGAUUGUGGUAUCCCACAAACUCGUAUUUUCUGCCACGGUUGCGGUAGGGAAAAUACUGUCAAAAGAAAUUGUUUUAAGUGUUCGGGAAACGAAAUGUCGGAGGUCCGUCCCCUGAGCGUUUCUCCGUCCAACACCCAAUCAGGGAAUCAAACCCCAUCAGAAAACGAGACUGCUGGCCCAAGCACACCCAGCAACUCAAACCCAUCUUCCAGUCGGAAAGGAAAGAGAGUAUCAUUCAAGAAACAAGCACACACCACAAAUCAAAAUCAGUCCAGAAAUUAAGUUUUAGUCAUGAUACGUUGAACGCACAUGAUUCACAGGGCAUAUUAAAUUAUACUUAAAACAAUAACUAGUAAAUAUUUCGUCUCUCUCUGACGUCAUAACAAACCUAUAGAUUAGCAGACCUGUAUAUUUGUAUACCUGGUGUACUCCUAGCGGCAACCAAAUUAACUGUAUUGUGACAUCGUCCUCGUUGCACGGAAAAUAUGCCACUUUGGUCAGGGCGUUCAACUCGAGUGGCAGAUAGCCUAUUCAAGUAGAGCGGCGAAUAUUUCAAUCUUAUGUUUCAAGUCAUAGUAUUAUUUUGACAAGUUAAAUUAUCCGAGUUUAUUAUAUAUGUGUUUAGUGGGCUGAAGAAACAAUAAUUGAAUAUUUCCAGCAGUGAAUUGUGGCUAUCUGCCACUUGGGGAAAAAUCUUUAACUACUCCUACCACCUGAGAGGGACCGCUUUACGACCAAGUCAUCCAGGGGACAAGUUCUAAAAGCCAUGUAAUUUUCUUUUACUUCAUUAUGCUGCAUUUUGGAGAACUGCCAUGUUACUGUUAGCGGUGUAGCACCAUUCUGUGCCUAACUAGGGAUCGAAGACGUUACUGAGAAGUAGCAAGGAACACUUGUGGGGACAAUAUCAGGUCAAUCGGGUUUGUUUCGGGAACUUUUUAUAUUUAACAGUGCAAUAGUUAUCUACCUAUACCAGUACACUUAUACACUUAUUAUUUUUUUAUAAUAUCCAGAACAUUUAAGUAAUUAACAUACACAUAAUUCAAUAGCGCUCCCACACCUGUAUGUCUCUUUGUAAAAGAGGAUAAUUUGGGCCCAAAUAACCUUUUCCUAUACAGUAGUUCCUUACAUUUAUUUUUUUAUCACCAUUAUUAGACUUGUUUCCAUAUUUUGCAUAUAACUAUAUAUAUUUUAAUAUCAUUAGCUUGUUUUUUUUAUGUAAUUUAAAUUCAAAAUUUUGUUUACUUAACUUAAAUUCAUUUGUAAUUAAAUUAAAUUCACUCCCUAAUCCCUAUCCCCUCAGGAUAGCUUUUAGUUUCACUUGUUAAUUAUUCAGAACCACGAGUCAGCAAAAGGAUCUCUUGCAUCCAGGACUUUGUUGGUUCACUUAGGAGCUUGUUGCCCGUCAACUCAUUGUGAGUUAUAUAUAUUUAUUAUUUAUAUUAUUGAGGUAUUUUUAUUAUUCAUAUUUCUAUAGGAUUUGACGUUGUACGUAUUUUAAUCGUACAAUUAUUUGGUGAAGGUUGUUAUUUAACCUAGUAUAUGUAAGUUGGGGGUAUGCUUCCUAGAAAAGCUACUCCAAUACUAAUUUAAUAGGUAAUUAUAUUUAUACUUAGAUAGGUAAUUAUUUCCCAUUGUCAUUUUAUAGUUACAUAAUUUGUAUUUUUCUAACUCAGAGGUUGUCAAAAAUCUAAGUAGUUAUAUUUAAUAAAUAUUUAUUUGUUUUUGUA
rnacentral:misc_RNA from 1 species